ensembl:snoRNA
CCUUCACUGAUGAUCCACUCCUUGACUUUCGUUCUCCUGAGCUUGCUGAAGCAACGCUUUUUUCCAUCUGAGGAGG